GUCAAUGGCCAUACCACCCAGAACGCGCCCAAUCUCAUCUGAUCUCAGAAGCUAAGCAGGGUCAGGCUUAGUUAGUACUUGGAUGGGAGAACAAUUAGAACCUCACUUUUGCUAGUGUUU
ensembl:rRNA 5S_rRNA 5S ribosomal RNA